AUGGAUACCUAAUUUAUAUCCACCCAUGUGUUUAUUUGACCAAAAUUUUCCAGAGUAAGAAGACAGCGAACCUCUUAUUUUCAUUUCCUUUGACCAGGUUGAGCCAUACCGAAGGUCUUUUGGUGGAGAUACUGAUUGAAACGCUCCAUUCUCAGAGUCCGAAAUUACAUGGAUCCAAAGUUUUCUCAAUUUCUACACAAUUAAUACCUACGGUAAUGUUUUAACACUCGAAAGGUUUUCAAUGUAUUGAAUAAUCACUCCUUUGAAACUUUUUGGAGAUUUGUUUUUGUGAAAUUAUUUUCUAGAAUCUUUAGACUUCAGAUUAUUCUGCUCUAGAAUAAUCUUUAUGAAGCUAUCAAUGUAAUUUUCAUCAAUUUCAAGCUUUUGAAGUGAGGAAAGGUAGCUGGUGCGAUAAUUACUUAUCUGUUAGUUGUGCUUCAAUUCAAACCUUUCAAUUGAAGAGGGAACAUCAACAACUCACCUACCUUCGUAGCACAUUCACAAAUCACAUAAUAUGUAAACUGAAGUGAAUCACAAAUGCAGAAUUUAUGGACCCCAUGUCGAAGUGCCACUAUAGGAUGGGGUAAACAGACAAAUCUUCUUCACUAGAGAACUAGACGUGUUCUAUGGGUGAUAGAUCGGGUGAUCUAGGGAGCCAAGCCAAUGUGAUUCCGGCUAGGUGUGAUCGAGCAUCAUCUUUUUGAGAAAGUAGUUUUCUGACUCAAGGCAUGAUAGACGAACAAACUAAAGCAGUUCUUCAAAAUGUUUUAUGUUCCGAAAACAUUACU